UACGUAGGGCGCAAGCGUUGUCCGGAAUUAUUGGGCGUAAAGAGCUCGUAGGCGGCUUGUCACGUCGAUUGUGAAAGCCCGGGGCUUAACUCCGGGUCUGCAGUCGAUACGGGCUAGCUAGAGUGUGGUAGGGGAGAUCGGAAUUCCUGGUGUAGCGGUGAAAUGCGCAGAUAUCAGGAGGAACACCGGUGGCGAAGGCGGAUCUCUGGGCCGAUACUGACGCUGAGGAGCGAAAGCAUGGGGAGCGAACAGG
rnacentral:rRNA from 1 species